GAUGAACGCUGACAGAAUGCUUAACACAUGCAAGUCAACUUGAACUUCGGUUUGGGUGGCGGACGGGUGAGUAACGCGUAAAGAACUUGCCUCACAGAUAGGGACAACAUUUGGAAACGAAUGCUAAUACCUGAUAUUAUGAUUAUAUGGCAUCGUAUAAUUAUGAAAGCUAUAUGCGCUGUGAGAGAGCUUUGCGUCCCAUAGCUAGUUGGAGAGGUAACGGCUCACCAAGGCGAUGAUGGGUAGCCGGCCUGAGAGGGUGAUCGGCCACAAGGGGACUGAGACACGGCCCUUACUCCUACGGGAGGCAGCAGUGGGGAAUAUUGGACAAUGGACCAAGAGUCUGAUCCAGCAAUUCUGUGUGCACGAUGAAGUUUUUCGGAAUGUAAAGUGCUUUCAGUUGGGAAGAAAAAAAUGACGGUACCAACAGAAGAAGUGACGGCUAAAUACGUG
rnacentral:rRNA from 1 species